CUGAUGAGAACAUCUCUCUCUUCGUCUCCACAAGGAGCCAAGACUUUAUAUCACUCUCUCUAAAACAAAUCCAUACAAGUAUGAUUCAAACAAAAAUCAAAUGGCGAGUUGAGGAAUUUUAUGAGUGCUAAGUAUGUUUGGUGAGAGCAACAAUGGAGUUUGUGAAGAUCGUGUUUAUGUUGUCAGAUCUGAUGAGAAAAAAGUCUCUCUCUUCGUCUAAAUCUCCUUCUCUAAAACAACAAUCUCUAUUAACUCUCUCCCCUUCCAUGGAAAAUCACAGAUCUUGAAUAUAUCAUAUAUAAUCUUUUCAUAAAUUUUUCGAUCUGUCGUCUUCCAAGCCACGCGAUUCUGGUCAUCCACAAUCUUCGAGUUCGAAAUCCACGAACUGUGAAGUUUAACGCCAAAGGGGAAUCAAACCCAGGAAGAAGAUGAUCAUUCAUCCUUGGGACUCUCAAAAUUCUAACUGUAAGUUUCUUUGAUAUUGUCUCUACUCAAUUUUUUUCUGUUUAUUUCAAACACAAGUUAUAUGAAACCCAAGUUCCAUGAAACCCAAGCUAAGACCAAACAUGUUGAAGAUAGAGGUGGAUUUGUAUCCAAUCUACCAGGUGAUGUUCCUCGGGUGAAUGGUCAAUUAGCUGUGUCUCAUGCUUUUGAGAUAAGGGACUUAAGACACACUUGAGUUCAGAACCUGACAUAAAAGAAGCCACUGUAGAUAGCCAGACAGAUGUUCUUCUCGUGGCCAGUGAUGGCAUUUGGAAGGUAAUGACAAAUGAAGAGGCAAUGGAGGCUACGAUGAUCUUGAUUUGGUUAAUCUAGUGUGUCACGCUGUAUGGGCUUAUGGUAGGGUUAAUGGUGAAUUUGAUCUUACGGUGGAGAAUGAUGUCCUUUGAUAAGAAUCUUGAGAUAUUGGUUUGGAUUGGAUGAGUGUAUGGUCAUAUGUAACACGGAACGAUAUAUAACUUCUUUUACAUACUUGAUACUUAUGUCA